ACUUGCUGAGGGUAAGGCAGAGAGAAGCAGCGGGGUCCUGGCUGCCUCUGCUGCCAUCCUGCCGCCCUCUCCCUCUGUGCAGAGAAGGAGCUCGGGUUGCUGCGGCGAGAGAACCGUAAGAACACGCUGCUGUCUCUGGCCAUCUUCGUCCUCCUGAGCCUCAUCUACGUCUGCUGGACCACCUCCUGGGGCACGCUCUGGGAAGCAGCCGGCAGCCAGAGCAGCCUCUGAGGGAAUGAGCCUCUUCUCCAAGCAGUGCGUCCCCCACCCCCCAUGGCUGCCCAAGACAAACAGCAGUGGAGUCACACACGGGCAUUAAAAAUAUGUUUAUCUUUAA